rnacentral:lncRNA from 1 species
AAAAAUCUCAAAGACAUACUUGUGACAUCAAAAGUAAAGAAACAAGAAACUUCUAAAUUUGGGUGUUACAAACAAUGCGGUAGAAGCAAUUGUAAGUGCUGUAAAAGCCGCUAAACACUGGCCACUCUUUCAGCAGCACAGCAACAAAGCAGCGAUACAACAUCUAUGUUACAUCUAAUUGCAAAACGGAAAAUAGUAUUUAUAUUCUUACUUGCGGAACUUGCAAGCUGCAGUAUGUUGGUGAAACAGAAACUAAAUUCAACAUCAGACUUAAUAAUCACCGGUCGUUCUAUACUAAAGGAAGAAACUGUCCAAUUACGAGACACCUCUUAAGAACAGGACAUACUUUUGAUAAUAUCACCUUUCAAAUAAUUGAGGUA